rfam:Zea mays cultivar B73 chromosome 7, whole genome shotgun sequence.
AUUUCUCGGCCUUUUGACUAAGAUAAGGUGUAAUAUUUGUUUUUAUCAAUUUAAUAUCUAAUAUGUAGACUAUAUGUUCACUUUAAUAUUAAAUUUAUUUUUUAUAGAUAUCAAAUAUGAUUUUGUGUUGUCGCAACGUACAAACAUUGUAUUAGUGGUUCUGUACGUCACGGUUACAGAUAGUGCUGGACAAAAU